CGGACGAACGCUGGCGGCGUGCCUAACACAUGCAAGUCGAACGGUCCGGCACUCAACCGACCCUCAGUCUAACUGUAGGGGAAGUUGAGUGCCGGGUAGUGGCGGACGGGUGAGUAACGCGUGGGCAACCAACCCUGUACAGUGGGAUAACACCGGGAAACCGGUGCUAAUACCGCAUGACACCUAUAUGGUGCAUACCGUAUAGGUUAAAGGAUUUAACCGGUACAGGACGGGCCCGCGUCCCAUUAGCUAGUUGGUGAGGUAACGGCCCACCAAGGCGACGAUGGGUAGCCGACCUGAGAGGGUGACCGGCCACACUGGGACUGAGACACGGCCCAGACUCCUACGGGAGGCAGCAGUGGGGAAUAUUGCGCAAUGGGGGGAACCCUGACGCAGCGACGCCGCGUGAGCGACGAAGGCCUUCGGGUCGUAAAGCUCUGUUCUUGGGGACGAAGGAAAUGACGGUACCCAAGGAGAAAGCCCCGGCUAACUACGUG
rnacentral:rRNA from 1 species